ACGGGGUGCAGCAGGCGCGAAACCUUUGCAAUACACGAAAGUGUGACAGGGCUAUCCCGAGUGCCAUCCGCUGAGGAAGGCUUUUACCCAGUCUAGUAAGCUGGGGGAAUAAGGAGAGGGCAAGUCUGGUGUCAGCCGCCGCGGUAAUACCAGCUCUCCGAGUGGUGUGGAUGUUUAUUGGGCCUAAAGCAUCCGUAGCUGGCUGAGUUAGUCCCCUGUUAAAUCCACCGAAUCAAUCGUUGGAUUGCGGGGGAUACUGCUCGGCUAGGGGACGGGAGAGGCAGACGGUAUUUUCGGGGUAGGGGUGAAAUCCUAUAAUCCCGGGAAGACCACCAGUGGCGAAGGCUGUCUGCUAGAACGCGCCCGACGGUGAGGGAUGAAAGCUGGGGUAGCGAACCGGAUUAGAUACCCGGGUAGUCCCAGCCGUAAACGAUGCAGGCUAGGUGUUUGGGCGGCCACGUGCCGCUCUAGUGCCGCAGGGAAGCUGUUAAGCCUGCCGCCUGGGGAGUACGAUCGCAAGAUUGAAACUUAAAGGAAUUGGCGGGGGAGCAC
rnacentral:rRNA from 1 species